rnacentral:rRNA from 1 species
CAGCAGCCGCGGUAAAACGUAGGUGGCAAGCGUUGUCCGGAAUUAUUGGGCGUAAAGCGCGCGCAGGUGGUUUAAUAAGUCUGAUGUGAAAGCCCACGGCUCAAUCGUGGAGGGUCAUUGGAAACUGUUAAACUUGAGUGCAGGAGAGAAAAGUGGAAUUCCUAGUGUAGCGGUGAAAUGCGUAGAGAUUAGGAGGAACACCAGUGGCGAAGGCGGCUUUUUGGCCUGUAACUGUCACUGAGGCGCGAAAGCGUGGGGAGCAAACAGGAUUAGAUACCCGAGUAGUCCCUGUCUCUUAUAC